ACGAGAAAGUCUCCGCAAGGGGAUGAGUAAAGUGGCGACCGGGUGAGUAACACGUAGCUAACCUACCCUCGAGUGGGGGAUAACCUGGGGAAACCUGGGCUAAUACCGCAUCACAUCCCGAUGGCGCAAGCCGUUGGGAGCAAAGGCCCGCAAGGGCCGCUGGAGGAGGGGGCUGCGGCCGAUUAGCUAGUUGGUGAGGUAAUGGCCCACCAAGGCGAUGAUCGGUAGCCGGCCUGAGAGGGCGCACGGCCACACUGGCACUGACACACGGGCCAGACUCCUACGGGAGGCAGCAGUGGGGAAUUUUGCACAAUGCCCGAAAGGGUGAUGCAGCAACGCCGCGUGAGGGAUGAAGGCCUUCGGG
rnacentral:rRNA from 1 species